rnacentral:misc_RNA from 1 species
GUAUACUGACGUGGGUUUGCCUCCACAAAGGAUAAAUAUAGAACUGGACGGCCACACGUCCCCGCUAUCGGCAACUAAAAACAGUAUAUCUCAUAUCAUCGUCAUCCUCCUCAGUGACCCUCUUUGUUGUUUUGGAUAUAAAAGUACAAAGUUUCUUUCUUUGAUGAAAAGCUUAUCCAACCUCCCCUCAGCUUGCCCAUUUCCAUUUCUCUGUUUUUGUUCACUCCAUUCCAGAAAGCAAGAUUAAUAGUAAAAGAUUUAGAAAUUUAGAUUUUUUUUUUUGGUGAUGAUGGGUAGGUUUCAGGAGAGAUUUUCUUACUUUUUCAAUAACAGAUGGCUGGUGUUUGUGGCUGCAAUCUGGAUACAAUCGUGCGCCGGUGUUGGGUAUUUGUUUGGGAGUAUUUCGCCAGUUAUAAAGAGCUCGUUGAACUAUAAUCAGAGGCAGGUUGCUAGUUUGGGUGUGGCUAAGGAUCUUGGGGAUAGUGUUGGGUUCUUGGCUGGGAGUUUGUCUGAAAUCUUGCCUUUGUGGGGUGCUUUGCUGGUUGGUGCUUUGCAGAAUCUAGUUGGAUACGGUUGGGUUUGGCUUCUUGUUACUGGUCGAUCUCCUGUUUUGCCUUUGUGGGCUAUGUGCAUUCUUAUAUUUAUUGGGAACAAUGGUGAAACCUACUUCAAUACAGUUGCUCUGGUUUCUUGUGUACAAAACUUUCCCAAAAGCCGGGGUCCUGUGGUGGGAAUACUCAAAGGCUUUGCUGGUUUAAGUGGUGCAAUUUUGACCCAAAUAUAUACAAUGAUCCAUUCCCCUAAUCAUGCAUCUCUCAUAUUCAUGGUUGCAGUAGGGCCAGCAAUGGUAGUCAUUGCUCUAAUGUUCAUUGUAAGACCUGUUGGAGGUCACAGACAAGUUAGACCAUCUGAUGGCACAAGCUUUACAUUUGUAUAUAGUGUGUGCCUUCUAUUGGCUGCUUAUUUGAUGGGGGUCAUGCUUCUUGAAGAUCUAGUUGAUUUGAGCCACACUGUUAUCAUAAUUUUCACGGUGGUUUUGUUUGUUCUCAUUUUGCUUCCUAUUGUGAUUCCUAUUUCAUUGAGCUUUUUCCAAGAACCUAAAGAUCCAACAGAAGAGGCUCUUUUACCUGAGCUACAGAAACAAGAAGCUGGAAAAUCUGAACCUGAUGCCCCUGAGGUAAUAUUCAGUGAGGUGGAAGAUGAGAAGCCCAAGGAAGUAGACUUGCUUCCAGCAUUAGAAAGGCAAAAGCGAAUUGCACAGUUGCAAGCCAAACUAUUCCAAGCAGCUGCAGAAGGAGCAGUGAGGGUCAAAAGGAGAAGAGGGCCGCAUAGAGGUGAGGAUUUCACCUUGAUGCAGGCACUGAUUAAGGCAGAUUUCUGGCUUAUUUUUGUCUCACUUUUGUUGGGUUCUGGAUCUGGGCUGACUGUGAUUGAUAACCUGGGUCAAAUGAGCCAGUCUCUAGGGUAUGAUAACACACACAUAUUUGUGUCCAUGAUCAGCAUCUGGAACUUUCUUGGCCGUAUUGGCGGGGGUUAUUUUUCUGAGGUUAUUGUGAGGGACUAUGUUUAUCCAAGGCCAGUGGCAAUGGCUGUUGCACAACUCAUUAUGGCUAUUGGGCAUGUGUUCUUUGCUUUUGGGUGGCCUGGGGCAAUGUACAUUGGUACUUUACUGAUUGGCUUAGGCUAUGGAGCUCAUUGGGCAAUUGUGCCAGCUGCUGCAUCAGAGUUGUUUGGCUUGAAAAAGUUUGGGGCUUUGUACAAUUUCCUCACUCUAGCAAAUCCUGCAGGUUCUCUUGUCUUCUCUGGUCUAAUUGCAAGCAGCAUUUACGACAGAGAAGCUGAAAGGCAAGCUCAAGAGCACCAUCACCACAAGUGGAAUGCAGGAUCAACCUUUUCUCGCUUUCAUCUGGAUGAACCACUGAAGUGUGAAGGUGCUGUAUGCUACUUCCUUAGUUCCAUGAUUAUGUCAGGCUUUUGCAUUAUUGCAUUUGUCUUGAGCAUGAUUCUUGUGCAUCGGACUAAGAUCGUCUAUGCAAACCUCUAUGGAAAAUCUCGUACUUGAUUUUGGGAAGAGAACUAAACCAGGCUCUUAUAACUAGAGUACUUCAUCCAUUUUACAGUGGUGUUUGUAUACUCCAAGCAAGGUUUUUAGAAAUUCUUAAUGUUUUUUUUUCUUGGCACACAUUGCUAGAAGACAGAAAAGUGAAGCAUACUCCAGAGGAACUCUCAACUGAAGUCUCUGUUUUUCGUUUACUUUUUAUAUAUAAUAUUUGUAACCUGGGUGCAGCCAUUUAGUCACAGGAGAUUAGCUUUGGAAUGUUGGAAUAUUGUAUAUUUUUUUCAUAUUCUAUUUGCAGAAUCAAUCUAUUUUUUUGCUUCAGUCUUUUCAAAUUUUGUUGGGAUUGAAUGAAGCAUGCUUAUUCUAAUGUUUCUUUUUCAAG